rnacentral:rRNA from 1 species
UACGUAGGUGGCAAGCGUUGUCCGGAUUUACUGGGCGUAAAGGGCGCGUAGGCGGCUUUGUAAGUCGGGGGUGAAAGCCUGUGGCUCAACCACAGAAUUGCCUUCGAUACUGCAUGGCUUGAGACCGGAAGAGGUAAGUGGAACUGCGAGUGUAGAGGUGAAAUUCGUAGAUAUUCGCAAGAACACCAGUGGCGAAGGCGGCUUACUGGUCCGGUUCUGACGCUGAGGCGCGAAAGCGUGGGGAGCAAACAGG